UUCGGCGCUCUCGAUUGGCGAGUCCAUACGUUCGACGGUGAGGAACGCCGCCAGGUUGGCAGUGUACGAGCUGAUCAUGAUCAG
rnacentral:miRNA from 1 species